AUAAUACUCCCUCCGUCCCAAAAUAAGUGACUCAAAAAUGACUCAACUUUAUACUAACUUUAGUAUAAAGUUGAGUCACUUUUGAGUCACUUAUUUUGGGAUGGAGGGAGUAUUCA
rnacentral:pre_miRNA from 1 species